UACAUGGGGGGCAAGCGUCGUUCGGAAUUACUGGGCAUAAAGGGUGCGUAGGCGGCUUGAUAAGUCAGUGGUGAAAUCGUCCGGCCCAACCGGACACGUGCCAAUGAUACUGUUGAGCUUGAGUGCGUGAGGGGUGGGGGGAACGAGCAGUGUAGCGGUGAAAUGCGUAGAUAUUGCUCGGAAGGCCAAAGCCGAAGGGACCCCACUGGUACGCAACUGACGCUGAGGCACGAAAGCGUGGGGAGCAAACAGG
rnacentral:rRNA from 1 species